UCGUGUAGGUUGGGAAAAUGGUUUAUGGUUUAUGGGUCAUGGGUUAAGCGUUAACGGGUAAUUAUGGUUACGUUUAAGAAUAGUUAGGGGUACGAAUAUUAGGGAUAACCAUAGAAACCGGUAAGUAUGCGAAGGGUUUAAAUGGGUUAAUUAGUGAAGUAAGGUCGAAUGGUGCUAAGUGUAUGGCUGAACUUUAGGUUAAGGUUUCGGGUUGGACUAAAGUUGAGGGUUGGGCUAAAUUGAUGGUUGGGCUAAAGCACGAGUGAGAGGAGAGAGUAUAUGUGAGAGGAAAUAAAGGAUGUAUGAGAGGAGAGAGGGUAUGUGUUAGAGGAGAGAGAGGAUAUGUGUGAGAGGAGAGAGAGCAUGUGUCAAAAAGGAGAGAAGUUGUGUGAGAGGAGAGAGAGAGUUAGUGUGAGUGGAGAAAAGGUUCUGUGAGAGGAGAGAGAGGUUGUGUGAGAAGAGAGAGGAUUUGUGAGAGGAGAGAGAGUUUGUGUGAGAGGAGAGAGAGUUUGAGUGAGAGGAGAGGGAGUAUGUGUUGAGUGGAGAAAGAGUAUGUAUGAGAGAGUAUGUGUGAGAAGAAAGAGAAGAUGACUGAGGGGAGAGAGAGGUUGUAUAAGAAGAGAGAGAGAAUGUGUGAAUGGAGCACAGUGUGAAAGAGGAGAGACAUAGUAUGUGUGAGAGGAUGUAUGGGUGUGUUUUAAAGAGAGAGAGAGAGAGUGUGUGAGCGGGUGGGUGACAAGGAGAGAAGAGCGAGAGCAUGGAGGGGUUCAAGUGGAGUGGAGUGUGUAAUUUAUGUAUAUAUAAAUAUAAUAUACUAACUACAUAAAUGAUUUGGAAAAUAUGUUUAAGCUAUUAAAACUAUUGAGAUUUCAGUAUUUUCUAAUGUUUCCGUUGAACUUUGAGUUUCCGCAAGUAUCCGA
rnacentral:lncRNA from 1 species